rnacentral:rRNA from 1 species
AUUGAACGCUGGCGGCAGGCCUAACACAUGCAAGUCGAACGAGUGGCGGACGGGUGAGUAAUGUCUGGGAAACUGCCCGAUGGAGGGGGAUAACUACUGGAAACGGUAGCUAAUACCGCAUACCAUCGGAUGUGCCCAGAUGGGAUUAGCUAGUAGGUGGGGUAACGGCUCACCUGGGCGACGAUCCCUAGCUGGUCUGAGAGGAUGACCAGCCACAAUGGAACUGAGAUGAGGUCUAGACGCCUACGGGAGGCAGCAGUGGGGAAUAUGGCACAAGGGGGGCAAGCCUGAGGCAGCCAUGCGGCGGGUAUGAAGAAGGCCGUCGGGUUGUAAAGUACUUGCAGCGAGGAGGCGUUAAUGGCAGAAGAAGCACCGGCUAACUCCGUGCCAGCAGCCGCGGUAAUUC